GGGACGGGAAGCUGCGAAGCGGCCGCCGCGGCAGGCUGCCGGUCCGCCGGAGGCGAGCCGGGCCAGGGCAGCGCCGGGGAGUUCCCCGAGAGCCGACAGAAGGGAAGAGGGGACGGAGGCGGGCACCCCCCAGGCGCGGCCAGCGGGCGCCUCCCCGAGUCGCCAGAGCUCCCCCAGCCCCGCUCGGCCCGUGCGGCUGCCCCCAGCUCCAGCCCCUCCCCUGAAGCCUGCGCUGUAGCCGCAGGCAGCCCCCGAACCCUGUGGUGAGGGCAGCAAGCUGGCCCUGCGGUGUUCUCGAGUCUCCCUUAACAGGCCACGCUGUGGGUGCGGUUGUCCCUUCGUCCCCUGGGGAUGCCGUUGACUGCAGCAGCCUCAGACUUGCGUGGGCUGUCUCUGCCUGGCCUCCCUCUCCUCGCGGCGCGGGAGCGCAGAGGGACAGGCGGAGCGCUUACUGGCUGUGGACGGGAGCUGCCGAAGCUGGAGAGGCCACAGAAAGGUAAAGAAGAAGAAACGGCAGGCCAUCUGGCUGGCAGCUGCCUCCCGCUGCAGGCAAGAGAGAGCCUGCCUCUCCGGGUGAGGAAGGAUCCCUCUUUGUAGUCCACAGCAGGUCAGACCGCCAGGUCUGUAUGCAUGACCAGCAGCGCGGUACGGCCACAUAGUGAGCAAGCGAGCGAGGCUACGUGUCUAGGAAGCCUCAUCUCAUAAGAGCUGUGAGACACUCGUGUGUUCCAUUCUGUGGAGGACAGCCAAGCGACUGGAGCUACAGAAGAGGAAGGGAGGAGAGAAGGAGAAAGAAGCAUCUGAGCUGGUAAGGUCUCCUGGCAGCUCCAAGAGUGAGAGCUGUGUGUCACCACCUGCGUCACACGAAGAAAAUCCUGCAUGGUUAAUUCCGCUUGCUGCUCAGGUGGAUGUCAGCUGCCACCAUU